UGCAGCUGCCCGAUGCAUUUACUUGUGGGGCCUGGCUGACCGAUGCAUCUUGCGUGCCUCACCUCCAUCCGCAGUUGGAGAGAGAGAGAUGAAUUGGUGCCUACUACGCGUUGGUCGACGCUGCGUCCGCCGCAGUCCGCGAGCCCGGGUGCACGGUGGCACUCACGGACCUCCACCGCUGCCUCGAUGCCUUCAGCGAGUCCUGCGACCGAGCCGAGGGCCUCGUCCAGGCAGCGUCGCUGCCUCCCGCUGAGGAGAACGGGAUGGGAGAAGAGAAGCAUCGCCCUCCGACCACGCCGCUGGCGGCCGAGGACAAAUAGCCCAAUCGAUCUACCUCUUCUCCUCUUGAGGUGAUGUUCAUCGUUCUUGUUUUUUCCGUGUGAUGUUCAUCGUUCCUCUUAUUUUCUUGGUUGAUGUGCUAAUUGUGUUAGUCAUCUAGAAGAUGAAUGAAACUGUGACGGGAAAGGAAAGGACAGAUGGACUGGGAUAUAUUGCCUCGCCGUGCCGCAUGGUGGCCGAGAUGCGGCAGCCCCAUGCUCUGUUUCGAUAGGCCUCCUCUGCUCGAUGUUGCCGCUAGUUGAGUUUGGUACGGUUUCCUGUUGUCGCUUGCGUCGAGCCUUGGGUCCGUCUCUCCUUCUCAUUGAGCGUACUUUUCCCAUUGCCAGCGCUUCUUCUUCUCAUCUGUCCUGCUGCUUACCCAACGUGCUUCUGCUUGCUGCCUCGGGCUGUACAAUCUCUUCUGUUCCUGUGUCGUUCGACUCAUAAGAUGGUUGUAAGAGCUAGAGAAGCAUUAGGAACUGGUCUACAGUGUCUUCCAGUGUAUGCGUACACACAAUUCACUUUCCUUUUCUUUUUUCCCUUUGUAUAGAUGAUGUGGUUGGGUUACGAAGCCUCUUCUUGCAGUGUUGUCUGCAAGGCCAAACGGAAGUUAUUAAUGCAUUUGAGCUGCUCUAUCUGAUUGUUCAUUUGCAUGAACCUGUUUUAGUUGAUGUAAAAGUGUUCUCUAUUUCAGAAAGCCAGAACACGAGAUUGUGCCCCCUCUUGCUCCAGGCUAUUCCUCAUGUUGCAACCUUUUCCCAUAGAAUUGAAAGGAAGAUGGAAGAAAUUGCAGGAGGAAUGGUGUUUCCAUGGUGACAUUCAAAACCAGUCAAGACUAUAAAGGGGUUGUGAAGGACGAAAUGCUAUGGAUCCAGAGUGGGAGGGGAGAGUUACCAACAAUGUAUCAAGGAUAAACCGUGACAUGGAUUCCUAAGUUCCAACUUACAUAGCAAAAUUAUAUAGGGAGAAUGCCUGCAUUUUGAAAACUCUAUUACAUAGUUUGAAGCUAUGUUUCCUUCAAUUUUCAUUAUUAAAAGGAUCUUUAUUAUUGCCAAUUUGUCAAGCAUUUAUUGUCGAAUAACUCUUUGUUUCAAAUGAGACCUGUGGCGCAAGGGGUAAAUUUAUUAUACAUCU